rnacentral:hammerhead_ribozyme from 1 species
GUCCGGAUGAUGAAUCCCAAAUAUGACGAAACACGCGUCCUGGAU